GGAAGUGGCUCAGUGGUAGAGCACUUGCCUUGCAUGCAUGAGGCCCUGGGUUCAAUUCCUCAGUACCA
rnacentral:tRNA from 1 species